CUAUUGCUUGCAUGCCCUGCGGAAGGACCCAAAUAUGUGGUCGGAAUAGGUGCUUGGAGUUCGUCGGUCCCCAAGUCUGCACAAGUAACGCUAGCUUUAUGUGUGUGCAACAACCGUUGGUGGCCCUUCCAGUCAACACCACCUCAUAAGAUGAGGAAGUACAUUAUUUAUGAGGAUUGCCUGCUGCAGUUGUUCGAGAGAUUCCAGUUUGAAGCUAAACAUGCAACAUAGACCAGCAAGGGGACCCUCAGCAUCACGCAGACAUGCCCUCGCUUAACUUUGAUGAGGGGCCAGGAGCUGCUCUACGCUGCCAUGCCCAUCAAAACCUCACCUCCAGCCUCACCUCUUGCCUGCCCACCAACAGUCGUUGAUGGGGAGACCAGAAUUAAAUGCAUCUAUGGAGCCAGCACUUGGAGACUUGCAAGAUGAUGUGAUGGAGACCUGACCAACAGAGGCUUGAUACUAAUGUCUCUAAAUGGAGAGAGACGUGCCACUCGGCAUUAAGAUGUUACUAGACACAA